rnacentral:rRNA from 1 species
UAUUCUUACGGGAGGCAGCAGUGGGGAAUAUUGGACAAUGGGCGAAAGCCUGAUCCAGCAAUACCGCGUGUGUGAAGAAGGCCUUCGGGUUGUAAAGCACUUUAAGUUGGGAAGAAUAGACUUCGAUUAAUACUUGAAGUCUUGACGGUACCGACAGAAUAAGCACCGGCUAACUCUGUGCCAGCAGCCGCAGUAAUAC